ACGCUGGCGGCAGGCCUAACACAUGCAAGUCGAGCGGAAACGACACUAACGAUCCUUCGGGUGCGUUAAUGGGCGUCGAGCGGCGGACGGGUGAGUAAUGCCUAGGAAAUUGCCUUGAUGUGGGGGAUAACCAUUGGAAACGAUGGCUAAUACCGCAUAAUGCCUACGGGCCAAAGAGGGGGACCUUCGGGCCUCUCGCGUCAAGAUAUGCCUAGGUGGGAUUAGCUAGUUGGUGAGGUAAUGGCUCACCAAGGCGACGAUCCCUAGCUGGUCUGAGAGGAUGAUCAGCCACACUGGAACUGAGACACGGUCCAGACUCCUACGGGAGGCAGCAGUGGGGAAUAUUGCACAAUGGGCGAAAGCCUGAUGCAGCCAUGCCGCGUGUAUGAAGAAGGCCUUCGGGUUGUAAAGUACUUUCAGUUGUGAGGAAGGGGGUAGYGUUAAUAGCGCUAUCUCUUGACGUUAGCAACAGAAGAAGCACCGGCUAACUCCGUGCCAGCAGCCGCGGUAAUACGGAGGGUGCGAGCGUUAAUCGGAAUUACUGGGCGUAAAGCGCAUGCAGGUGGUUCAUUAAGUCAGAUGUGAAAGCCCGGGGCUCAACCUCGGAACUGCAUUUGAAACUGGUGAACUAGAGUACUGUAGAGGGGGGUAGAAUUUCAGGUGUAGCGGUGAAAUGCGUAGAGAUCUGAAGGAAUACCAGUGGCGAAGGCGGCCCCCUGGACA
rnacentral:rRNA from 1 species